GACUAGUAUAAUAAUUAUAAUUGUUAAAUACAAUAUGACCCCUGCAGGACAGGGCAGACCGUGAGACAGGGCGGACCGUACCAGGGCGGACUGUGACUUGAGACUAGGCGGACCGUAUUUUGGGACAUCAAUAAUUUAAUACUUUUAUUACAUUAGUCCACAUAUAAAUACUUUUUAAAUCACGGUCCGCCUAAUCUUGAGUCACAGUCCGCCCUGUCCGUAAUUCAAUAUGACUUAAAAUAAGAUAUACUUAUUUCAUACAUGUAGAUCUGAUUUUCACAGUUUUGCCUUCAUCAGAUGUAGGAUUUCAUGAUAUUUAUGGUCAGUCCAUAAUUUUAUAGAUUUUUUAUUUGUAAAUUUAUAGACAUUUAUAUCUGAAAAAAGUAGUUGUAUUAAAAUUCAAAACCACAGGUCGAUAAUAAUAAGAAUUAAGAUAACUGAUUAUAUUAUUAAAUGUAACAGAUUCCAGAUAAUGUGAAUAUCGGCAUAUUUUACGCUUUAAAAUCAACUAAAAAACGUACAAGGUUUACCGUUAACAAUUUGUUGCGUUCAUUUACGCACUCUGUAAAUUAAUUACGCAAAGAAUGUGAAUUUGAAGUGUUUUUGGUGUGUACUUUCAUUUUCGAAACAGCUGAUUGACCGCUUCCAUUUAACAGUUGAACUGUGUAUCUAUUUCCAAUUAAUACCUGUCAAGAUACUUUCAACUAUUUUUCUCUGUAAACCAGUCAAAUUACGUCUUUAUUGCUUACGUGCUUGAUAAAAUAAUUGUUCUAUUUUCUUGAUAAUUGUAAGGAUUUAUUAAUACACAUGUUGUGCAUGGUUGCUUCAAGGGCUAAUCAAAUUGACAUUUUUUUCACACAACUCUGUUGCCGGGGAAACUUGAUAAACUUACUUCAUAACCUCAGAUCCCCUUUCAAAAUUCCAUUUUAUUUAGUUCCGCCCAUUGUUUUCUCGUUUAGGGCACACGCAUUUUUUUACUUGGGGACCAUAUGCCGCUUUUCAUGGAAUGGCACUAACGUGUCACAUUGAAGGUUCCAUGAUAACCGCCAUAUGAACACAUCUGCGGAUGUUUCAAAAUUCUAAAUUUUACCAGUUCAUGUUAAAUGUUGAAUUCUGCUUAAGCCGGUGCUAGGGGGCGUGGACGGUAACUUGCACUUUCCAGUACCGUCCAUGAACAGGCUCAAUCAAACCGAGCCUGCAACAUUUUCAAUAUUGCCGUGUUGGGCUUUCUUUAGGGAUUCUGUAUUUAUCUAUUUCAUUACCUUUGUUGAUAUAAACAAUCAAUAAAAACAACUUGUCUUUAGCAGCGGAAUUUUAUAUACAUCAUAUUAAGUCAUCAUUACUUUUAUUGUUUAACAUCUAUUUGAUUAUUAUACUAAUAGUAUUCAUGGAAUUGGUAGAGGAAUAGGCAGUGGCUAGCAGUAUGAACCAGUAUUGGCUGUAUGCGAGUCAAAUACGACUAGCAUAUACUCACUGUUGAGGCUAGCUGUACAGCAUUUUAAAAAUGAGUUGCCUAAAACAAUAAUAUGCAAACUUGUUUUUCUAAAAGAAGAUUUUAUUGAAUAUCAUAUACAAUUUCAGUCAAUGCGAAAGUAAAAAAAAAUUCCACCCGCAAGGACUGGUAUCCUUAGACUGAUGAUUUUUCCCACGCCCGGACUCUGACAGGGUUUUUUUGUAGGUAUGGGGGAGGGAUAUUGCCAUAAUUAUAAAGAAAAAUAUUUAGCAUAUAUGAAUUAUCAGACUCAACUAUAAGAUACUAAAGAAAAAAAUAUACAGAAACAUAAUUGAUAAAACAUUAGUAUAAUUCACAAGAAAACAAUACACAAUCGCAACUACUCGGCCCUUUCCGUCAGUCUUCGGAUAAGGACCUCGAACACAAUAGUAUGAAUACACAGAACGGAUGCGGUAUUUCGGUCUAACCUACGCUAAGAAAAUAAACAUGUAAACAAAAAGUAAUUUAAUGCUGGGCGUUGUUUACAAGUUUAUUUCCAAUAUAUGUAGUAAACGAUCACCUUAAAUGAGUGAUAUUAUAGGUACAAAAGCAAACAAUUCAUUAUUUAUAUAUUUAUUAUUAUGGUUGUAGAAACCGAAAGUACAAAAACCCAACCUGUUGACAUUUCGUCGGAUUUGUUUAAAAUUGAACAUCAAUAGGCAUAUCUAAAUUACAAAUUGUUGUCAGACAAAUUUUCAAGCAAAAGAGUACCGGAACAGGCAUUAGAUGUCAAAUAUAUACAUUCGAUUUACAUUAUCUCUGUUUCUGUUUACAUCUGAAACCACGUGGUAGAACUACUUUCAAUCCGUAUUGUUUCCGAGGUUAAUAUUGUAGAUAAUAGCCGAGGCAGUUCCGAAUGAACAAUACAUGUACAUCUUUCAAAGGUUUAAUUUUGAAGAUUGGAGAAAAAAUAUGUUUUGGUAAAGAAAUUAAACCGAGACAAGAUGGUGGCUUACAUUACUUAGCAAAAACUGGUCGUAUCCUGCGGUGAUUUUGGUUAUCUUGGUCUGUGAAUACAAGCAAAAAUUAAAAAGAUAGAUCGAUCUUUGAAGCUUUGCAUAUUUCAGAAGGCCAAAAAUUGUUUCAAACUGGCUGAAAUUUUAUUCCGACAUGACAACUGACUGUAUCGAAAUUUAUGUCGACCCUACAGAUUUUUAGUUGGCGAGGUCCGAGGACCGACAGCCUUUCGCACAGACUGCAAUUUACAGUUGGUAUAGUAAUUUGUAGUGUUUGAUGAUCAAAAGAUUUUUUUUCCUUCUGAAAAUCAUGGAGUUGAAUAAUUUAAAUCUGUGUGAAAGCGCAAAGAGAAAGAGACUGAAAAUUAAUUUAUUAUAUUUUUAUGGACAUUAUUAUAUAGAUACAUUUGUAAUCAAACAUGUGGGUCAAUUUCCAACAGUAGUUGAAUUAUGACAAAGUAUUUUUAAUAAUUUUAUUUCACUUUUAGCUACUUGAAAAUUUCAUGCUGGAUGUUUGCUUACCAUUACAUUUUGCAUAAGAGCUCUAUGAUUGACAUUAAAGUCCACGGGCCAAUUCAUUUCUCAUAUAUCUUUCCGAUAUCUUGUUAUAAUAUAAAAGGCUGAACGUCAUCGUAGAAUUAUUAGGAAAAAAUAUAUAUGUUCAUUCUUUGUAAAAAUGUUAGAAGACUUGCAAGUUACCAAUUUUAUCAUUGCAUUUAUUUAUUAUUGAAAAAAUGCUGAACGGCUAUCCUCAACAGUGUGUAUAGGCUAGAACUUUCAGUUUGCAUUUAGGGUCAAAAUAUAUUGUUACAGUCAUGACAGCUUUCCCGUUGCUGUCAACAAACUUUAACCUUUCAUAACUUUUCAGAUCUUGGUGUAUUGUCUUCAUACUUGGCCACAACAACCCUUCAAAUAGACCAGACUAAACUUGACCUCCAUAUAAACAUUCAAGAUGGUCGGCCUACAUGUCAGAUUUGUAAAUGUGAACGGCACGAUAUUGAUUUUAAGGAUGCUUUAGGGUCAAUGAGGAUGAAAUAAAAUGUGAGACUGUCAAUCUGACAAACCUUGCAGUGAAUAAAUGGAAACAGUGGCGUUUGUAUGAUAGAACAGUAAUAGCAGGAGUGAUAAGGACAGAUGCAUGUAGAUGUGUCUUCAUGUCGGAAACACUAGAGAAAUUGACACAUUUGGGUUUUUCAAAACUUAAAGAAAUUGGAAUACCAGGAGACUGCUUGCCAUUUGCAAUGUUGGAAUGUGUGAUGUCGAAAGCCUCAUGAAUAUAGUAACUUGACUUAAUCUAAUAAGAAAAAGAAAAGACAUUGAGGAGAAAACUAGUCACCAGUCUUUCACCAAGAACAUGAGAUAACUUUCCAAUAUUUGAAAUAUUAUAAUAUGUAUAGAACUUGAAUGAGUGACAUAAUAUGUAUUGAUAUUGAAUGAGCGACCAGUUUUUCACCAGGAAAAUAAGAUCACUUAUCUAUUUUUGAAAUAUGUAUGAACAGAACUCUAUCAACUUCAAGGUGAGAGUUUAUCAUGAAGAACAUGAGAUAACUUGUGUAUGAACAGAACCACAUUUGAAUAUAGAGGCGCCAGUUCAUCACCAAGAAGAUGAGCUAACUUAUCAAUGUUUGAAAUCUGUUAUACCCCUGCACAACAAAGUUGUAAGGGGGCUAUACUGGAAUCAGCUUGUCCGGCCGUCGGGCGUCCGUCGCUUUUUUCAUGUCCGUCCAUAAAAUUAAGAUUCCUUUGACCCACAGUCUUCAUAUUUGGCAUGGAGGUAAGUCAUGAUUAGUAGAUGACCUCCAUUAAUUUUGAGAACACCAAGUCAAAGGUCAAGGUCACAGGGGUCUUGACUGAAGAAAGCUUUUCUGCCCAAUAACUUAAGAAUCCUUCGACCCACAGUCUUCAUAUUUGGCAUGGAGGUUAGUCAUGAUUAGUAGAUGACCCCUAUUUAUUUUCAGGUCUAAGGUCAUGGUCACAGGGGCCUUGGCUAAUUAAAGCUUGUCCGCCCAAUUACCUAAGAAUCCUUAGACCCAUAGUCUUAAUAUUUGGCAUGGAGGUUAGUCAAGAUUAGUAGAAUACCCCUAUUGAUUUUGAGGUUACUGGGGCAAAGGUCAAGGUCACAGGGGCUUUUAUUACAAUAAGCUUGUCUGCUCAAAUGGUCUCAUAUAUUCAUCAUAAAACACCUCCAGGCAAGGCUGCAUGAAAUGGGGGGGGGGUGUUAUUGAAGUCAUUCAAUGGCAGUUUUAGUUUUGAGGUCAGUAGGUCCAAGGUAAAGUUCACUUUGAUCUUUUCUACUAAAACAUGUAGAAUAUAUAACUUAGCAAUGCACUGGCUUACUUCCCUCAGAUUUGGCUGAGCUGUAAAUGACUACUGUUGAUUCUGACAAAUUGGUAUGUGGGGGUAUUCACGCCAUGACAAUGACAGUUCUAGUUUGUACAGAAAAUAUCAAGAUGCAAGUUUCUUUUAUUAAGAAUAGACUUAUUGAUUAGAUAACUUACAAUAUUUACAAACAUUUAUAAUACCACACCCAUUUAAAGUAUUUCAGCUGAGAGUGUAUUAUCCAAAAUACAUGUAUUGUUAUAAUGUACUUUAUAGUAUAUUUAUUGAUAUAUUUAUUGUAAAUUUUGAUUCUACUAAAUUUUAAAAACAUUUAGAUUUUACUAGAUCUUGAAAAUAUUUUGUUCCAUGCUCUUUCAUUUAAUUUUGAAUAAUGAAUCCAAUAAAUACCCAUAAUAAGUAUAGGAUUAAAAUUGAUAAUGUUUUCUAUCUUUAACUUAUAUAAAAAAGUAAUGUUUAAACUGCUGGUUAGAUUUCAAACAGGGGUGACCGUGUACAGUGCCAUCCUUAAUUGUGCACAUUGUUGGCAUGUUCUCAUUGUCGGAUACCCAUGGCCGAACCAUUAAUAUUCAUCAUUGAUUGCAUGUUAUGUGACAUGUUUAUCAAUUGUGGGUAUCCAACGAUGGCAGCCAUGUCCUGUUUCUCUGCACAAAAUGGCCGAAGAGUUAAAAAAAGAAAAAUCUAUCACAUGUACAACUGCCAAAAUUCAAAAGAGUGAUCAGAACCAUACACAGUUUUGGGAGACAUGUUUUUGUGACAAAAGCCCUUCAAGUUCAUAUAUGACCUUGACCUUUAUUUGAUAUAAAAUAUCUUUGGAGUUAGCUGGAAUUGUCAUUACUUUGUUAUUUUUUACAGAUUUGAAUCAUGCUUGAACAAACAAACACAGAACCAACAUGUUGAAUUUUUCUGAUAUAUUUUGACCUUUAAAUGACCAUUACCUCCAAGGUUAAACAAUUGAAAUUCACUCACAUUGUCAUAACUUUGUUUUUGUCUAUGAUUUGAUUCAUUCUUGGACAAAAGAACAAUUAUCAUUCAACUAUGACCUUUACUAUUCAAAUUUGAAAUUUACUUUAUACAUUUAUAUUAUGUUUUCUAGGAGUACUCUAAUAGAUAUUACAAUAUUCUCCUACUGAUGUGUUUGACUUUCAAUAUAAGAAAAAGCCAAGCAUGGCCCAAGCUAGAUAGUGGCUCUUGUUUUCAAUGCCAAUUUGAUUAUAUGUAUCCAUUCCAAUUUACAUUCUCACAUGUAUUAUCUAUUGUGCUUGAAAGGUUUCUA